UGUAACUGUGGUAAGGGCCGUGUCCUGUUCGUUCUGGACUGAGUUUAGGUAACAUUUUAAACAGAAAUGUGUUUUAAGAGCACUUAUUUAUGUUCUGCAAGUUCUUUGUGUGCGUCAAUCGUCGGGACGACGAUUCAAAAGGGAGGGGUAUAAUGUAGCAGUGCGCGCCUGCUGCCUUCUGCCACCAGGUGGCGCCUGGGCUUAUAAAAGGGCACUCCCCGUAGCGUCUCGUUCUCUGACCUCGGCGCACUUCCGGGAUAGGGCUCCGCCUUGUCGCGCACAGUGCCACCGCUCCUAGAGUCUCGACGUGCCUGAUCGAAGUUAUGGCUCGUGAGUAAAGCUCCUGCAUGUAUUUGCUGUUGAUCGCCACAAGCGCCACUGUUAGCCGCUGUCCACGGUUGGGUCGGUGUUGCUGUCAGAUGCCCCGGCCGCUCGGCGUCAAGCCUCGUGGAUGUAGAAGCGUGUGUUUUGUGGGUCCAGGGUGGUCUUCGGCACGUCAUCUGGUGGAGCGGUGGCCCUGUGAACGAGCUGCUGCUUUGUUUUACUGUGUUUUUUUAAUUUUAAGGACAAAAUCACCGUACAGCUGCUUUUGGUGACUGUGUUAUCGGCAGUUAUGUGAACAGUGAAUAGUCUACUCUUAAAGUUAAUCUAACAAAUGAAUUAUGGCAAUAAUAAAUAAUUUCAUGUUUUGUAAGUCACUUGUCUCUGUCUGUCAAUUAACGAACCUGUGAGCCUUUUAGUUUAGUAAAUUUAGUUUUAGUUCUGGGCUACGCCCAGUGGCGUUGUUGGUUUUAUGUUGAUUAUCUUACUUUGGGGUGCUCCUCACACCCCUCCCGGAUGCCCCG